rnacentral:misc_RNA from 1 species
AACCAUUCUCACCUGCGGCUAGACCUGCGGAGGGAUCAUUACCGAGUUUACAACUCCCAAACCCCUGUGAACAUACCUAUACGUUGCCUCGGCGGAUCAGCCCGCGCCCUGUAAAAAGGGACGGCCCGCCCGAGGACCCCUAAACUCUGUUUUUAGUGGAACUUCUGAGUAAAACAAACAAAUAAAUCAAAACUUUUAACAACGGAUCU